GAGCCACUAGUGAGUGCAAGUGGGGCCCCUGCUCCUUCCCCGUGCUCGUGUCCCCAGGUCUGAUGCUCGGACCCAGAGCUGACCGUGCAGCCCCUCCCUCCUCUCUCUGCUCUGUCCCUGUGCUGGUCUAGCAGGUGGCCAGUGCAUGGCAGGCCUAGGGAGACUUUCCUUCUCCUUUGGGCCAUAACUGGGAACCAGACGUAGGCAAGCGGUCCCGGAGCUCUUUGCCAGGCUGUGCGGAAUCCAGCCGUUAGGUAGGCAACCUUCCAGCCGGACCACGAGCUCAUUCAAAGCGUCUGUCUCGGCCCCCACGCAGCUUUGCCGAGCUCUGCACACGCGAUGGGGAUGUGACCUGGCUUCCGGGGGACAACUGCGGAGAUCAGGAGAGAAACUGUCACCCUGCCGGUUGCCACUGCUGUCCCUCCUCUUCCCACCUGGCCCACGUGGGCCUUGUCCUGCAGCGGGACGACGGUGGUGAGGGGCGACGCCGUGGCCAUGGACACCAACAAGGGGGCUGGCCCCAGCGCUACCGGCGACAAAGACAGGGACCUGCAGAUGCUGUUACAGGAACUCUGGCGGCUCCAGGCAAAGCAGAGGAGGCUGGAGAGAGAGGUGGAGAAGCACAAGCUUUUUGAAGACUACCUGAUGAAGGUCCUUGAGAAAAUCCCCAAGGGUCACUACGAAGGGGAGGAGCCAGAUGAGGCGCUGGUGGGGACCAUGGUGGAGCAUUACGAGAAGCUCUUCAUAGUCAGCCAGGACGUCCAGAAGCAUCUGGAGGCCCUCUCCGAGAUGAAACAGGUCAUCUGCCAGAGGCUGGAGUCUCUAGAGGAGAGCCACAGGGCUCUUAUCCCGAGCCUCAAGAUCCAACUGUGUCAGCUGCAGAAGCGGUGUCACCACCAGCAGAAGCAGUGGCUGCAACUGGAACACCGUGUCACCUCCCAGAAAGACAUGGGCAGCUACAGUAUGGGAAGCAAGGCCGCCACCACUGAACACAGCCCUGAAGACCUGAAGUCUAGGCCUCCAGUGCUGCCCAGAGUGAGGGGCUCCGGGUUCCUCCAUGACCCUUCCCAGCCCCUGCCCCAGAACCAGCUGCUCAACUACGUGCAAAUGGCCAUCGACAGCAUGGUCCGGCAGUGUUCCCCUUCUGCCCGCAGCACGCCCAGGACCAUGGGCCUCUUCUCUAAGCUCGACCUGAUUCAGAAGGGGAGGCUGCAGCUCCGCGGUUAAGUGGCUGGCCCAAGGCGACACAGCCGCUCAGUGGAGGAGCGGGGACAUUAGCCCCAGUCCACGGGCUCCAAAUGGAGCUGCCACCUAGAAGAUGAACGAGUUUUCAUUCUCCUUCAGCAAGUAGUAAGAAGAAAAGUGAACUGUGGCUAAGAGCAAGAGAAGCUGUAUUAGUCAUCAGAGGCUGCGUAACAAGUCACCCCCAAACUCUGCUGAAGAUAAUGAACAUUUAUUACCUCCUUAUUAUUCCUGGGGUCAAGCAUCUGGGCGGGGUUGUGUCCUCUGGCUCCAGUCUCUCCACUAAGCUUCAGUCCAGCUGUCAGCCAGACCUGUGGCUUCGUCUGAAGGCUUGACCAGAAGAGACUCAGCUUCCAGGCUCAUGCAAGUAGCCAUUGGGAAAAGUUCCUCACAGGCUGUGGGACUGGGGGCCUGAGCUCUUCACUGGCUGCUGGCUGUUGGACCACCAGGUGGCCGAUGACAGAGAAGGGGGAGCAAGCAGGACAGAAGCCACAGUCCUACUCUCAGAGGUGGCAACUGGCCACUGAAGUCGAGCCCACGCUUGAGGGGAGAGGGUCACAGUGGUGUGAACACAAGAGGCAGGUUGCUGGAGGCCGUUAGAGGCUGCCUCUCACAGAGGUCACAGACCUGCCACAGGUCUCCUAACUAGGACACGUCCAGGAGGUGGGCUCUCUGCCCCCUCCGAGGAUGGUGAGGACAGGGCUGGGACCAGCAGCGCCCACCAAGCCCAGGGCCCCCACCCUGCCCUGGCCUCAGCUUCCUGUGAACCAUACCCACUGCUUUCUCCUCCCAUGGCAGCAGGGAGCCCUUCCCACCCAGCCCCCCGAGGCUGCGGGGGUACAACACUUGCUGUCUGAGCUGAAGACAUGUUAGCUUUCAGAGCCCAGGCCUGGGGAAGCACACGGUGGGCAGCUGGCUGGAAACCUGGCCCAUCUACUCCUCUCCGGGGGCUGCAGGCCGUGUUUAAUCUGAACAGUGAGCAGAGACUUGGGGGAACCCAGCCUCACAAAAGGAUUUCUCUUCUAGAUUUCCUUGUCUCACAUUUGGGAAGGCAGACCAGCCCGUCGUGGGACUGGCUCCCUGGAACCCUCCUGCAGGGUCCAAGAGAGGCCACAUGCUUUUUGUGGUCUAACUCGAGUUAGCUCUCACCGUGGGUCCCCUCUCCCCGGGCUGCCUGGUGGAAAGUUAAAUCUCGAACAUUUGCGGGGUUCCCUCUCCAUCCUCCGCCAACCCUUUGGCGGUUGUGUGGUCCUGCGCAACUGGUUCAGUGCAGAGUCAUUGGUGGUGACGUCCCCGUGAGAAUGGAGGCUGAGUGAGGGCAGCAAGUUUUGUCAUUUUUGUGCACAGAUGUGCAUAGUCGGUGCCAGUCACGCAUCUGCCUGUCAGAUGUGCAGUAAAUUUUUGCUGAGUGUUGAAUGAAUGGCCUUGGGUCCUGCACCCUCCCUUGCCCCCGACCUAACAUACACAGUGCUUUGAAGGAGGGCACAGAAAGGAUCUUUGCCAGGUCGGGAUCCUGUGUUCCCUUGGGCGGUGCCAACAGGUGACAGGAGAGUGAAGAGCGCCCCUUGUUCUGGACACCUGUUUCCACCGCUUCCCAGAUUCCAGAAUGUUCUCUCCCUAUUCAGUCAGACCUGCCUACCCAUUCUCAACUCUCCCAACUUUCAUUGUUUUUCUUAGAAAUGCCUUUUCUGAAAAAUAAAUGGUUCCUCCUCAUUCCUGCCCCUGGGAGUGGGAACCAGGGCAACCCACUACCUCCAGGGCUGGCCGGCAACUCCCAGGGGACAGGCGUGGGGGAGGGGACGGGACUAAGUCCAGCUCUGAUAUUUCCUGAUCUCCCCCA